UACGUAGGGUGCGAGCGUUAAUCGGAAUUACUGGGCGUAAAGCGUGCGCAGGCGGUUUGUUAAGUCCGCUGUGAAAUCCCCGAGCUCAACUUGGGAAUUGCAGUGGAUACUGGCAGGCUGGAGUAUGGUAGAGGAAGGUGGAAUUCCCGGUGUAGCAGUGAAAUGCGUAGAGAUCGGGAGGAACACCAGUGGCGAAGGCGGCCUUCUGGACCAAUACUGACGCUCAUGCACGAAAGCGUGGGGAGCAAACAGG
rnacentral:rRNA from 1 species